rnacentral:rRNA from 1 species
CCUACGGGAGGCAGCAGUGAGGAAUAUUGGACAAUGGGCGCAAGCCUGAUCCAGCCAUGCCGCGUGCAGGAUGACGGUCCUAUGGAUUGUAAACUGCUUUUAUACGAGAAGAAACACUACUUCGUGAAGUAGCUUGACGGUAUCGUAAGAAUAAGGAUCGGCUAACUACCGUGCCAGCAGCCGCGGUAAUACGGAGGAUCCAAGCGUUAUCCGGAAUCAUUGGGUUUAAAGGGUCCGUAGGCGGUUUAAUAAGUCAGUGGUGAAAGCCCAUCGCUCAACGGUGGAACGGCCAUUGAUACUGUUAGACUUGAAUUAUUAGGAAGUAACUAGAAUAUGUAGUGUAGCGGUGAAAUGCUUAGAGAUUACAUGGAAUACCAAUUGCGAAGGCAGGGUUACUACUAAUAUAUUGACGCUGAUGGACGAAAGCGUGGGUAGCGAACAGGAUUAGAUACCCUGGUAGUCCACGCCGUAAACGAUGGAUACCUAGCUGUUAGAAGCCAAUUUCAGUGGNGUAGAGAAGUAGAUAAGUAAUACCUACCGUCGGUAGGUACGUUACGUCGAGAAGUAGAACGUAAACGAAAGUAAGUAGUACGNGUGAGAGACGACGACGACGACGACGGAGGGAGGAGG